rnacentral:rRNA from 1 species
AGAGUUUGAUCCUGGCUCAGGACGAACGCUGGCGGCGUGCCUAACACAUGCAAGUCGAACGGGGGAUGCGUAGCUUGCUAUGCAAACCUAGUGGCGGACUGGUGAGUAACGCGUGAGCAAUCUGCCGCAGAGAGUGGGGAUAACACAUGGAAACGUGUGCUAAUACCGCAUAAUGUAUAACCGUGGCAUCACGGAUAUACCAAAGGGAAGCAAUCCGCUCUGUG